UAACGAUACGGGACUCAUCCGAGGCCCCGUAAUCGGAAUGAGUACACUUUAAAUCCUUUAACGAGGAUCAAUUGGAGGGCAAGUCUGGUGCCAGCAGCCGCGGUAAUUCCAGCUCCAAUAGCGUAUAUUAAAGUUGUUGCGGUUAAAAAGCUCGUAGUUGAAUCUGUGUGCCACGCUGUCGGUUCAUCGCUCGCGAUGCCUAACUGACAUGACUGUGGGACGUCCUACCGGUGGACUUAGCCUUCACGGGCGGUCCAGCUAAUAUCCCAUCGCGGUGCUCUUCACCGAGUGUCGAGGUGGGCCGGUACGUUUACUUUGAACAAAUUAGAGUGCUCAAAGCAGGCUAUGUUUGCCUGAAUAUUGUGUGCAUGGAAUAAUGGAAUAGGACCUCGGUUCUAUUUUGUUGGUUUUCGGAGCCCCGAGGUAAUGAUUAAUAGGGACAGAUGGGGGCAUUCGUAUUGCGACGUUAGAGGUGAAAUUCUUGGAUCGUCGCAAGACGGACAGAAGCGAAAGCAUUUGCCAAAAAUGUUUUCAUUAAUCAAGAACGAAAGUUAGAGGUUCGAAGGCGAUCAGAUACCGCCCUAGUUCUAACCAUAAACGAUGCCAGCUAGCGAUCCGCCGAAGUUCCUCCGAUGACUCGGCGGGCAGCUUCCGGGAAACCAAAGCUUUUGGGUUCCGGGGGAAGUAUGGUUGCAAAGCUGAAACUUAAAGGAAUUGACGGAAGGGCACCACCAGGAGUGGAGCCUGCGGCUUAAUUUGACUCAACAC
rnacentral:rRNA from 1 species